GUUCAGUGAUAGAGCACAAGCUUAACAUGUAUGAGGUCCUGGGUUUAAUCGUAAUUACCUGGGGCAGAAACACUGAGGGAGGAGACCGAAGCUCGCUCAGCACUGACGCUCCCUUUUCCCGACUCCAACUGGAGAAGCUGGGCGUUACAGCCUGAGGCUCUCAGCCCAGGGAGCAGCCCCCAC